rnacentral:rRNA from 1 species
UCAUCCUACGGGGGGCAGCAGUGAGGAAUAUUGGUCAAUGGACGAGAGUCUGAACCAGCCAAGUAGCGUGAAGGAUGACUGCCCUAUGGGUUGUAAACUUCUUUUAUAUGGGAAUAAAACAGGGUAUGCAUACCCUCUUGUAUGUACCAUAUGAAUAAGGAUCGGCUAACUCCGUGCCAGCAGCCGCGGUAAUACGGAGGAUCCGAGCGUUAUCCGGAUUUAUUGGGUUUAAAGGGUGCGCAGGCGGCGUGUCAAGUCAGCGGUAAAAUGUCGGGGCUCAACCCCGGCCGGCCGUUGAAACUGGG